UCCUUUGACAAGGCGUACGCAGGUCGAUAAUAUGCGCCCCGGCGGACUGUUAAUCCGUAUGUCACUGGUUCGAGUCCAGUCAGAGGAGCCA
rnacentral:tRNA from 1 species